rnacentral:rRNA from 1 species
AUUAAUUCGGCAAAAUAAAUAUUCGCCUGUUUAUCAAAAACAUGUCUUUUUGUAUUUAAUUUAAAGUCUGACCUGCCCACUGAAUUAAUUUUUAAAGGGCCGCGGUAUUUUGACCGUGCAAAGGUAGCAUAAUCAUUAGUUUUUUAAUUGAAAGCUUGUAUGAAUGGUUGGACGAAAUAUUUACUGUCUCAUAAGAAUUUACAAUAGAAAUUAAUUUUUUUGUUAAAAAGCAAAAAUAUAUUUAUAGGACGAGAAGACCCUAUAGAGCUUUAUAAUUUUAUUAUAUAAUUUUUAAAGAAUAAUUUGAAUUUUAUAAAAAAAAUUAUUUUGUUGGGGUGACAAUAAAAUUUAAAAAACUUUUAUUAUUUUAUUACAUUGAUUUAUGAAUAUUUGAUCCAUUAUUAAUGAUUAAAAGAUUAAGUUACCUUAGGGAUAACAGCGUAAUUUUUUUUAAGAGUUCAUAUCGACAAAAAAGAUUGCGACCUCGAUGUUGGAUUAAGAAUUAUUUUUAGGUGUAGAAGUUUAAAGUUUAGGUCUGUUCGACCUUUGAAUUCUUACAUGAUCUGAGUUCAGACCGGUGUAAGCCAGGUUGGUUUCUAUCCUUAAUUAAAUAAAAUAUUUUAGUACGAAAGGACCAAAUAUU